rnacentral:tRNA from 1 species
GGGGUUGUGGCUCGGUGGUAGAGCGUUCGCUUAGCAUGUGCGAGGCCCUGGGUUCAAUCCUCAGCACCACA